rnacentral:rRNA from 1 species
GACGAACGCUGGCGGCGUGCUUAACACAUGCAAGUCGAGCGGUAAGGCCCUUUCGGGGGUACACGAGCGGCGAACGGGUGAGUAACACGUGGGUGACCUGCCCUCAGCUCUGGGAUAAGCCUGGGAAACUGGGUCUAAUACUGGAUAUGACUCCACGGUGCAUGUCGUGGGGUGGAAAGCCUUGUGCGGCUGAGGAUGGGCCCGCGGCCUAUCAGCUUGUUGGUGGGGGGAUGGCCUACCAAGGCGACGACGGGUAGCCGGCCUGAGAGGGCGACCGGCCACACUGGGACUGAGACACGGCCCAGACUCCUACGGGAGGCAGCAGUGGGGAAUCUUGCGCAAUGGGCGAAAGCCUGACGCAGCGACGCCGCGUGAGGGAUGACGGCCU